rnacentral:rRNA from 1 species
GAUUAACGCUGGCAGCGUGCAUAACACAUGCAAGUCGAACGAUGAAACUUUAAUGAACCCUUCGGGGAGAAUUAAAGCGGAUUAGUGGCGAACGGGUGAGUAACGCGUGAGUAACCUGCCUUACACAAGGGGAUAGCCUUUGGAAACGAAGAAUAAUACCCUAUAAAACCAUAAAAGCACAUGCAAUUAUGGUCAAAGUGAUAGCGGUGUAAGAUGGACUUGCGUCUGAUUAGCUAGUUGGUGAGAUAAAAGCCCACCAAGGCAACGAUCAGUAGCCGGCUUGAGAGAGUGUACGGCCACAUUGGGACUGAGACACGGCCCAGACUCCUACGGGAGGCAGCAGUGGGGAAUUUUGCACAAUGGGGGAAACCCUGAUGCAGCGACGCCGCGUGAUUUAGAAGGCCUUCGGGUUGUAAAAAUCUUUUGUAUAGGAAGAAAAUGACAGUACUAUACGAAUAAGGUCCGGCUAAUUACGUG